AUGAGACAACCUCCUGGGUAUGAGGUGAAAAACAAGCAACACUAUGUAUGUAAGCUUGAUAAGUCCUUGUAUGGGUUGAAACAAGCACCUAGAGCAUGGUAUUCUAGGUUAAGUGAAAAACUUCAAAAGCUUGGCUUCAGACCAUCAAAGGCCGACACGUCAUUAUUCUUUUAUAGCAAAGGCAAGAUCACCAUCUUUAUGCUUGUGUAUGUUGAUGACAUUAUUGUGGCUAGCUCUUCACAGGAGGGAACUACGGCAUUGUUGGAAGAUCUCAGAAGGGAUUUUGCCUUAAAAGAUCUCGGUGACUUGCACUAUUUCUUGGGAAUAGAGGUGAAGAGGUCAAGGAUGGUAUACUUCUAA
rnacentral:rRNA from 1 species